AACGAACGCUGGCGGCAGGCUUAACACAUGCAAGUCGAACGCUUGGGAGCGAUCCCUUGAGUGGCAGACGGGUGAGUAACGCGUGGGAACAUACCCUUCGGUACGGAACAACUUGGGGAAACUCGAGCUAAUACCGUAUGCGGCCUAUGGGCGAAAGAUUGUAUCGCCGAAGGAUUGGCCCGCGUCCGAUUAGCUAGUUGGUGGGGUAACGGCCCACCAAGGCGACGAUCGGUAGCUGGGUCUGAGAGGAUGGCCAGCCACAUUGGGACUGAGACACGGCCCAGACUCCUACGGGAGGCAGCAGUGGGGAAUCUUGCGCAAUGGGCGAAAGCCUGACGCAGCGACGCCGCGUGCGGGAAGAAGGCCUUGGUU
rnacentral:rRNA from 1 species